AUUCCUACGGGCGGCAGCAGUGGGGAAUAUUGCACAAUGGGCGCAAGCCUGAUGCAGCGACGCCGCGUGGGGGAUGACGGCCUUCGGGUUGUAAACCUCUUUCAGUGGGGACGAAGCGCAAGUGACGGUACCUACAGAAGAAGGACCGGCCAACUACGUGCCAGCAGCCGCGGUAAUACGUAGGGUCCGAGCGUUGUCCGGAAUUACUGGGCGUAAAGAGCUCGUAGGUGGUUUGUCGCGUUGUUCGUGAAAACCGGGGGCUUAACCCUCGGCGUGCGGGCGAUACGGGCAGACUUGAGUACUGCAGGGGAGACUGGAAUUCCUGGUGUAGCGGUGGAAUGCGCAGAUAUCAGGAGGAACACCGGUGGCGAAGGCGGGUCUCUGGGCAGUAACUGACGCUGAGGAGCGAAAGCGUGGGGAGCGAACAGGAUUAGAUACCCUAGUAGUAGAG
rnacentral:rRNA from 1 species